GAAUAGAGAUAGAGAAAACGAAGGGGAAAAAGAGAAAGAACAGGGGAGAGAGGUAGCAAGGGCUUCACAAAACUGCUGAGAAAUAGAGGCUGAGAUUGUUUUCGAUUAUGCUGUUGGAGAGCUCCACCAUGGAGAGCGGCAAAUUUAGGUCGGGUAGAAAUUGAAGCAAAGGACGUUCCGAUUCUAAGGAUUUGUUGUAUCUGAGUUUCAAAGAGAGAGUGGACCAGCUUCUGCCACCCAGAGUCAUUAAGGAAUUGCAUAUCAUUUGUAGUUACAUCCUGAGUAGUGUAUUUAGAAAGAAUUUAAUAAUAGAAGUGAUGUUAAAAGUUAGUUUAAAAGUCUAGAAGAUUUUCGACUAUAGACUCGGCACCUAGUGGGGUCCAUGGUCGGUGUGGUCUGUUCUUGAACUAGUAGGUGUUCUGGGACGAGUCGUGUCAUGUUUACAAAAAAAGAGACUAAAUUUUGGAUCCCAUAAAAAGUAGUUUUUUUCGUUU